AGAUAACACUAAUCACCUUCAAUGUUUUGACGAGUUCAAUCACACGUCCUAUUUUUUGCUGAACAUUUUGAUUGAUCCUCAAUUUUGAUUAGGUCCCAAAUAAUUAUCUGAAUUGUUUGUAUGACCUGGUAAUCCUAAAGCAUUUCGUAUAUAAAGGGUGCAUUUAGUACUGAAGUCAGUUAGUGUUCUUUGAAAACUGAUACCAUGAAAUUCAUCGCUCUCUUCGUUAUGGCCCUGUGCGCCAUUUUGUCACUGGUGAGCGCUGCCAGCGCUGAGCCAGCUCGAAGAUGGCCACGGAGCCCUGCUGCAGUCGAGGACUCGGAGUCCGCACCUGGAUACUACCAGCGUUACAACAACUAUCAUUAUGGCCGUCGUUAUUAAAACGAGGAAUCUCCUUGAUUCACUUAAUUUUUUUCGUUUUGUUUUCAAUCGGGUGUUGUUUUGGUAAUAAACCUUUUAUUUUGAUGAUUUA
rnacentral:lncRNA from 1 species